rnacentral:tRNA from 1 species
GGCCUGAUAGCCAAGCAGUAAGGCAGCGGUCUGCAAAACCGCGAUGCGCGGGUGCAAUUCCCGCUCAGGCCUCCU